UACGUAGGGGGCAAGCGUUGUCCGGAUUUAUUGGGCGUAAAGAGCGUGUAGGCGGCUUUACAGGUCCGUUGUGAAAACUCGAGGCUCAACCUCGAGACGCCGGUGGAAACCGUAAAGCUAGAGUCCGGAAGAGGAGAGUGGAAUUCCUGGUGUAGCGGUGAAAUGCGCAGAUAUCAGGAAGAACACCCGUGGCGAAGGCGGCGCUCUGGGCCGGUACUGACGCUGAGGAGCGAAAGCGUGGGGAGCAAACAGG
rnacentral:rRNA from 1 species